rnacentral:rRNA from 1 species
AGUGAACGCUGGCGGCAGGCCUAACACAUGCAAGUCGAACGGCAGCACAAGAGAGCUUGCUCUCUGGGUGGCGAGUGGCGGACGGGUGAGGAAUGCAUCGGAAUCUGCCCAUUUGUGGGGGAUAACCUCGGGAAACCGGGACUAAUACCGCAUACGACCUACGGGUGAAAGCAGGGGAUCUUCGGACCUUGCGCAGAUGGAUGAGCCGAUGCCGGAUUAGCUAGUUGGAGGGGUAAAGGCCCACCAAGGCGACGAUCCGUAGCUGGUCUGGGAGGAUGAUCAGCCACACUGGGACUGAGACACGGCCCAGACUCCUACGGGAGGCAGCAGUGGGGAAUAUUGGACAAAGGGCGCAAGCCUGAUCCAGCCAUGCCGCGUGUGUGAAGAAGGCCUUCGGGUUGUAAAGCACUUUUGUUGGGAAAGAAAAGCAGCCGGUUAAUACCCGGUUGUCAUGACGGUACCCAAAGAAUAAGCACCGGCUAACUUCGUG